rnacentral:rRNA from 1 species
UGCAUAUCAAUAAGCGGAGGAAAAGAAACCAACCGGGAUUGCCUCAGUAACGGCGAGUGAAGCGGCAAAAGCUCAAAUUUGAAAUCUGCGUAAGCCGAGUUGUAAUUUGAAGAUGGCUACUUUGGUAAUGGCUCUUGUCUAUGUUCCUUGGAACAGGACGUCACAGAGGGUGAGAAUCCCGUGCGAUGAGAUGUCCAUUACCGUGUAAAGUGCUUUCGAAGAGUCGAGUUGUUUGGGAAUGCAGCUCUAAGUGGGUGGUAAAUUCCAUCUAAAGCUAAAUAUUGGCGAGAGACCGAUAGCGAACAAGUACAGUGAUGGAAAGAUGAAAAGAACUUUGAAAAGAGAGUGAAAAAGUACGUGAAAUUGUUGAAAGGGAAGGGCUUGAGAUCAGACUUGGUAUUUUGUAUGGCUUGCUUUCGGGCGGGUCCUCUGCAGUUUACUGGGCCAGCAUCGGUUUGGGUGGCAGGAUAAUAGCAUAGGAAUGUGGCUCUACUUCGGUGGAGUGUUAUAGCCUUUGUUGAUACUGCCUGCCUAGACCGAGGACUGCGUCUUUUGACUAGGAUGCUGGCAUAAUGAUCCUAAGCCGCCCGUCUUGAAACACGG